rnacentral:piRNA from 1 species
UGGGACUUGAGACCCUACCCUCUGUGACCC